rnacentral:rRNA from 1 species
UACGUAGGUGGCGAGCGUUGUCCGGAUUUACUGGGCGUAAAGGGCGUGCAGGCGGUUUGUUAAGUGCAGGGUGAAAGCUCCCGGCUCAACUGGGAGAGGUCCUUGCAUACUGGCGAACUCGAGGGAGGCAGAGGAAAGUGGAAUUCCCGGUGUAGUGGUGAUAUGCGUAGAUAUCGGGAGGAACACCUGUGGCGAAGGCGGCUUUCUGGGCCUUACCUGACGCUGAGACGCGAAAGCGUGGGGGGCGAACCGG